ensembl:lncRNA
UGUUCUCACUAUCUUUACUUGUUGUUCAUGUUGCCCCUGACAGCUUACAGCCACAACAAAACAGUUAUUUAUUUAACUGACUGUAAUAUAUAUUUAGUUAUCUGAAAUCAGUUACAAACCACAAAUAACUACUAAUGAACCCUAUCUGAACCCUCUGAGUUAAGCACCUCGUGUCAUACAGCACCAUCUAUUUUAACUUGUGGUCCGGGGGGGAGGGGCCAUUUUGUGAUGUCAUGCGAGAACUUUCAGUACAUUCUCAAACAGGCAUAUCUUGUGAAGCACAAAGUCAACUGCAGGUUCCUCUGUCAGAAUGAGACCAAAAAAGUAGGAUCCUCCUUCUGAUAGAUUGCUUCCUUUUAGAACCACACUAACCACAGAGUAAAACAGACUAGAUACAGUGUGUCACAUUAGCUGAGUGGCUGUGGUAUCCAAUCAGGCAUGCACGCUCAUGUGCUACACUAAGUGAAUGUUUCUGUGAAUAAUAUACAAGGAAUGGAGGACUGACAUGUACUUGUUUCAUUGUGUAGGUGUUUACACUUCUCAUGUUCACUCUUGUACAUACACUAUAUCUACAAAAGUAUGUGGACAGUAUGGUGGAACAACUGCAAGAUUAUGUUAUAAUACUUUAUUGCAUCAAAUGGUUGUGUUAUGAAUAGACUAUUCUGUUAACUAUUGUGUGUGUCACGAAUCCCGUUUCCUGAGUCUGUUUUUUGCCUGUGUUCUGUCCUGGAGUUGUUUUUUCCGGCGUCCUGGAACGCACCCUGUCUGGUUGCCGGGCAAUGUAGCCAGUUGGGAGUUCUGAUUACCCGCACCUGUAUCCCAUCAGCUAUCUGCACACCUGGUCCUGAUCAUCAUCUCUCCUCUUCAUAAGCCCGGACCUGACAUCCAUUCCCUGCCGGAUCGUUAGCCAUGAACAUUACUCACCCGGAUCAUUUACCCCAUUCCCGCCUGGUCGUCGGAGGAUACCGCUUCCCCAUUGGAUCCACCUAUUUACUCCCAUCAACUCACCACCGCUGCCCGCUACGCCACCUGGAUAUAUCUACCCAUUCACAUUCACUUGUAAAUAAAUACUCACCUUCUUCCUACUCUCUUUGUCCUGGUCUGCUUCUGGGUUCGAUUUUGAAGAAACGUGACCGUGUGUUCUACUGAGGAUGGGCUUCUGGGAGAUAACACUGACAGGAGAUUUAUGAUGUCUUUUGGGUGAUAAAACCUAAAGAUCAUUCCAGAGCAUGAGUUAAUGUUUCUGUUCUUUACCGUACCAGGGAGAGAUGGUUCCAGUUUGGAGUCAGAGGGCCAGACACUGGUCUCUACACAAUAAACUGUUGACACAAAUCUUAACCUUUUUACCCAUUCUAUAUAUCUAUUGUUCGUCAUGUAGGUUGAAAAAGGUGUAUCUUGGCUAUAAAAUACUUUUGUCUCUGGGCUCUCAACGAAUCAUUUGAUCGUGAAUCGUCGACCUGUCAUGACCAGCCAUCAU